rnacentral:rRNA from 1 species
AUGAAUGUUGCUGAGAAGGAGAUCUUAAGAGCCGAUAAUGUUCACGAAGCUGCACAAGAGAUGUUCAAAAUAAUUCAGCUCAGGGGCCGCAUAUUCUGCCUUGAUUGUUGGGAUGGAUUUGGGGCCUCUGCUGUUCUUAGAUACAUGGCGGCAAUGCUUCCAUCCAGGAGAAACAUUCCGGAACUAUGCUUUGACAGAAUAAUUUUCAUAGAUUGCUCAAAGUGGAAUAACAGGAGAGCGGUGCAGAGAGCAAUUGCACAGGAACUGACACUUGACCGCUCUAUAAUGGCUACUCUAGAUAAGCAAGACGAAGAGGAUGAUUUUAAGGGAAUUGGUGAAAGCUCGAGGAAUGAGAUAGGCAGUGUUGCACAAGUGAUUGAGCAAACCCUGACUGGCACCAAAUUUAUGAUGUUUUUUCUCAAUGGAAGUGAUGACGAGGUUGACAUUGGUUCGUUUGGCAUUCCUCUUACAAGGUUUGGUAAAAACAUGAUGAUAUGGACCUUCAACAGGUGCUGCUUGACAAUGCAUCGCCAUGUUGACCGUCUUUCGAUAUCAAGCAAUCUAAGAUAUACUCAUGUUUUCAUAUAUUCAUUCCGGGGAGCUCGCUCAUUAAUAGCUUAUGAGUUUCAAGAACUACUUCAUCAACAAUGUGCCACCAUAGUUGCUCGAAGUCCAUCUAUGCUAGACAUCAACCCUACAAUGGUUAAAGAAUGUUGCCUCUAUGGGUUAUUUCUUCAUUAUAUUUUUCACAUUUCCACCAAACUUGAUUGGAUCGCUCAUGCUUCCAACUAUUGGAUAUGUGAUGCAAUCAUACAAGGGGACAAAGCAAGGGAUGUUAGUAACACAUUGCAUGGAGAGAUAAAUUGGGAGGGUGAUGCUACUGUGAUUGAUGAGGUGCUUCAGAUGCUCAUGAAAUAUUUUGAGCAUUUAUUUCUGGUAGUUAAAGAUGAUGAUGUCUAUAAGGAAGGGUCAUACCGUUGGAUUUCAGUCACAUCAAAAAAUAUGGAAAUAUGUGGUAUGCAAACUAUUCCUGCAGUGACGUCAUCUCUGUUUUUGGCAUUUGAAAGAUCCGAUCACCCACCAACUCUGCAAAAAGGCUUCUUUGAACAUUCCAACAAGCUUGGUGUGCUAGUUCUCUGUUUCUGUGCCUUCAAUUUUGCAUCACCUCCUUUUCACCAUUGUCAGAACCUCAGAUUCCUUGGAUUGGACCAUUGUACACGUAGCAAAACAUGUGAAGCAGAUAAUCAUCAAGAGUGGGCAUGCUUGUAUAAUCUUUUGGUGCUGGACCUACGCUACACAGAGUGGGAUAAUAUCUUAUCUGAGGAGAAAAUGGAUCUUAUGAAAAGCAUCACAGAACUAAAUAUAGAAGGAGUCAGAUGUUGGCGGUACACAGCUCAGUUACAAGGGAGGCUGCCUAACCUUGAGAGACUCCGAAUAAUCAAACCAACUUGUCAGCAUGAGACAUCAAAUGAUGUUGAUAACUCCUUCACAGAUAAGAAAAGUAUGAAAAUACUAGAUUUUUCAGGCAACUCUGACAUGAAAACUCUUCCAACAAGUCUAUCAAAGGCGAGCAGGCUUCAGAUGCUCAUACUUGAUGGUUGUGAUGGACUGGAAAGCAUUGUUGCCUCUGGUCUGCUUCCUCCUUCUCUCAAGACCUUUAGCUUUGAUGGCUAUGGGCCAACUCGCCAGAGGACAUCAACUGUUGAGCUACCUCCGAAAGAUUUCCGUCCACCUCCCAAUGAAGAGAAGAAGGGUAUCUCUACAUCGAGGAUCUCCCUGGUAGGCUGCACACAAUUGGAUAAUCUGUUCUUGCGUGGGUUACCCAACCUUGUGGAACUGGAUCUCUCCGGAACUGCGAUCAAGAAGCUUGACUUCAAGACUAUGGUGGUGCAGGUCCCAAGGCUCAAGCGGUUAUUUCUAAUAGGAUGCAAGCACCUUCGUGCAAUCAUUUCUUUGGAGAAGAUUGAUCAUCUUGAGUUAGUGUGCAUAGACACGCGAGCUGGAAUAGUGUGUCCGUAUCCUAUCAUUGACAAGCAUAAAUCCUUCCAGUUGCAUGUGCAUGCUGUCCUUGCGGAUGCGAGGAUUACUCACUCCUUGAGGGAACUUGGAUGGGGUCCAAAGGAAGAUGUAACUUUCAAUAUCCACAUCACCUCCUCGCCUGUUCAAUUUGAAGCAACUAGCAAGGAUAAAGUUGGUCCAAGUGAUCAAGAGAACCCGCAACAGCUUAUUCGUCUAGCAAGCCGAUACAGUGAUGUCCUGAGGAUGGUUGGCGAUCCCCUGGUACAAGUUUUUCUGCCACCAGCAGCGACUCCAAAGUUGGAUCGACAUAUAGAGAUUUCUCAAGGGAGGUGCCACAUGGAGAGACAUCUCAAGGAAUCACUAGAUUCAUUCAUGGGAUUGUAUGCUGAAUCCCUGCACUUCCAUGACGUCUCCACACGUGCUAUUACUCCUCAAGGUCAUAAUCCUAAUCUGUGGAAAUACCUUAGGUGGUGCUGCGUGGAGAGGUGCCCCAAGUUGAAUACCUGCUUCCCUUUGCGUUCGCAUGAGUAUAUGGCAGGCUUGGCAGGCUGGUGGAUGACCAAUUGGUUAAGUAAAAUAGACCCUAAAGGCUUCAGUAAUCUGCAGCACCUACACUUGUGCUUUUGCCCCAGCCUCCAGUUCGUGCUCCCCAUGCGGUUUUGGUCCUUGCCCAGCUUGGAAACCCUCUACAUCAUCCACUGCGGCGGUGAUCUCAACCACGUCUUCAUGCAGGACGAAAUGGUCCAAACAGGAAUAGGCAGAAAUCGCCCCCGCAUUUUGCCAUGCCCGAAGCUGACCACCAUCCACCUGCACGACCUCCCAAAGCUGCAGAAGAUAUGCGAGGUCAGCUUGUUGGCACCAGCGCUCCAGACCAUCAAGAUCAAGGGGUGUUGGAGCUUACGCCGGUUGCCAUCUGUGAGGGGCAGAAGCCCAGGCGAGAAGAAGCCGACCAUCGAGAUCGAGAAGGACGUGUGGGACGCCCUGGAGUGGGACGCCGACCACCUCCCCGACCAAUUUGAGACGCCGGUCCACUCGCGCUACUACAAGGAGAAGCUGCCCAGGGUCUCCGUCCUCAGUAGGUGA